UACAGAGGUCUCAAGCGUUGUUCGGAUUCAUUGGGCGUAAAGGGUGCGUAGGUGGCGCGCUAAGUCAGGUGUGAAAUUUCGGAGCUUAACUCCGAAACUGCAUUUGAUACUGGUGUGCUUGAGGACUGGAGAGGAGACUGGAAUUCAUGGUGUAGCAGUGAAAUGCGUAGAGAUCAUGAGGAAGACCAGUGGCGAAGGCGGGUCUCUGGACAGUUCCUGACACUGAGACACGAAGGCCAGGGGAGCAAACAGG
rnacentral:rRNA from 1 species